UGAAGUCUUUACAUGUUAUCUCGCCU
rnacentral:piRNA from 1 species